rnacentral:sRNA from 1 species
GCUUUAAGCUUCCAGUUGGCCUUUGUAAGGAGCUGGAAGCGGUCAUUGCUAAGUUUUGGUAGAUAAGGAAUAAGGAUAAGGGCGGUAUACAUUGGAUUUCUUGGCAAAAAAUGAAACGGAGGAAGAAGGCUAGAGGGUUUGGAUUGGCUAGCGAAUUUUACGUAACCCGAAGUCGUUGUUGGGAAGCAUUCUUAAAGCCAAGUAUUUCCCGGAUCAGCCAUUUAUGGAGGCUAGGCAAGGGAUGAGAUCUUCAUGGGGGUGGAAGGGUAUUAUCCAGGGGUGGAAGAUAAGCAUCAAUAUUUACUUCAUGGGGGUGGAAGGGUAUUAUCCAGGGGUGGAAGAUAAGCAUCAAUAUUUAUAACGAUCCUUGGUUGCCAGGGCCUCAUACAUAUAAGGUCAGGUCAAAACAUGUGGAUAGGCCUGUGAUAGGGGAUGCUUUGAUUGAUUCAGAGUGAGCUGUUUGAAGGGAAGAUCUUAUACGAAGGGUCUUUGAGGAAAAAAAAGGUGUGCCAACUCAUGACAGAGCUCAAUCGGGCUAGUAGAAAAGAUAUGAUGAUGGUGGUGCUUGACUUUGUACAUCCUAAUCAACAAUGGCCGAGGAAAGAACACACCUUGGCCUGGCUUCUAGAACCUAAAGACAAGGUUACCUAAUUCACUGUGAAGUUUAGGAUCUUAUGCACUGAGUUUGGCUGUUUCAACUAUAUUUGUGAGAAUAGAGUGCGCCAAACCAGUAGUAGGUUAAGGGGCAAAGGUACCCAAAGGAGAUGAGUAUUUUUAUAAUGAACGUGGUUGGCCUUCAAAAUGCUGAACUAUGAAGUGCACCUGAGAGUAACCGAUCAUAGAGUACUUCACUUUGCCAAGCAACUAAUGAAGUGACCACUUUAGACCAAAGAAUUGAGAACUCUUCACAUACCAAGACUUGGAUAGAUAACCAACUAACCAAAAGCAGUAUUGUACUUGUCCAAAAUAAAGGUGUUCCUGAAUCGUCUGGUUGUACGGCUCUAGUCCUAUUUACUUAUCCACACGGAAGAUGCCUCCAAUUGUCAAAAUUACUUAUCCAUACUGAAUGUGUGUUGAUGGGAGGGUUAUGAUAAUUAGUAUUUUCUCAAGGGUGUGAGAAAUGUUUCGUGUAGAGCGAAGGUUUUCACAUGGAGAAUUUUUUAGUUGUUUGUUGAGUUGAAGAGAGCUUCACAUUGCAGAAUCUCUUCUAUUUAUAAAGAUGUGCUUCGUAAUAAACAAAUAUGUCGAUGCAGAGUCUUGAUGAGGCUGUGCCUACUCGGAAUUUACCUAGAUAUUCCCUUUUUAGCAUUUCCUUAGCCCAAAUUCAAUAUCUAUCCAGUCUCAACUUAUUCGACUUUAAUCAG